rnacentral:rRNA from 1 species
GACACGGUCCAGACUCCUACGGGAGGCAGCAGUGAGGAAUAUUGGUCAAUGGGCGGAAGCCUGAACCAGCCAAGUAGCGUGCAGGACGACGGCCCUACGGGUUGUAAACUGCUUUUAUGCGGGGAUAAAGUUGCCCACGUGUGGGUUUUUGCAGGUACCGCAUGAAUAAGGACCGGCUAAUUCCGUGCCAGCAGCCGCGGUAAUACGGAAGGUCCGGGCGUUAUCCGGAUUUAUUGGGUUUAAAGGGAGCGCAGGCCGCCGUGCAAGCGUGCCGUGAAAAGCAGCGGCCCAACCGCUGCCCUGCGGCGCGAACUGCGUGGCUUGAGUGCGCCGGAAGCGGGCGGAAUUCGUGGUGUAGCGGUGAAAUGCUUAGAUAUCACGAAGAACCCCGAUUGCGAAGGCAGCCCGCUGUGGCGCCACUGACGCUGAGGCUCGAAGGUGCGGGUAUCGAACAGGAUUAGAUACCCUGGUAGUCCGCACGGUAAACGAUGGAUACCCGCUGUCCGGCCCGUACGGUCUGGGCGGCCAAGCGAAAGCGUUAAGUAUCCCACCUGGGGAGUACGCCGGCAACGGUGAAACUCAAAGGAAUUGACGGGGGCCCGCACAAGCGGAGGAACAUGUGGUUUAAUUCGAUGAUACGCGAGGAACCUUACCCGGGCUUGAAUUGCAGGAGAAUGAUUCAGAGAUGAUGAAGUCCCUCGGGACUCCUGUGAAGGUGCUGCAUGGUUGUCGUCAGCUCGUGCCGUGAGGUGUCGGCUCAAGUGCCAUAACGAGCGCAACCCCUCUCCGCAGUUGCCAUCGGGUGAUGCCGGGCACUCUGCGGACACUGCCGCCGCAAGGUGCGAGGAAGGUGGGGAUGACGUCAAAUCAGCACGGCCCUUACGUCCGGGGCCACACACGUGUUACAAUGGCCGGUACAGAGGGCUGUCCGCAUGCAAGUGCGGGUGAAUCCCGAAAUCCGGUCCCAGUUCGGACUGGGGUCUGCAACCCGACCCCACGAAGCUGGAUUCGCUAGUAAUCGCGCAUCAGCCAUGGCGCGGUGAAUACGUUCCCGGGCCUUGUACACACCGCCCGUCAAGCCAUGAAAGCCGGGGGUGCCUGAAGUCCGUGACCGCGAGGGUCGGCCUAGGGCAAAACCGGUGAUUGGGGCUAAGUCGUAACAAGGUAGCCGUACCGGAAGGUGCGGCUG